GCACCCUUAGCUCAGCUGGAUAGAGCAACGGAUUUCUAAUCCGUAGGUCGCAGGUUCGAAUCCUGCAGGGUGUA
rnacentral:tRNA from 1 species